rnacentral:rRNA from 1 species
UACAGAGGUCCCAAGCGUUGUUCGGAUUCACUGGGUUUAAAGGGUGCGUAGGAGGGCAGGUAAGUCAGUGGUGAAAUCUCCGAGCUUAACUUGGAACUGCCGUUGAUACUAUCUGUCUUGAAUAUUGUGGAGGUGAGCGGAAUAUGUCAUGUAGCGGUGAAAUGCUUAGAUAUGACAUAGAACACCAAUUGCGAAGGCAGCUCGCUACACAUAUAUUGACUCUGAGGCACGAAAGCGUGGGGAUCAAACAGG